rnacentral:rRNA from 1 species
UACGGGGGGGGUAAGCGUUGUUCGGAAUUACUGGGCGUAAAGGGCUCGUAGGCGGCCAACUAAGUCGGACGUGAAAUCCCUCAGCUUAACUGGGGAACUGCGUCCGAUACUGGAUGGCUUGGAUUUGGGAGAGGGAUGCGGAAUUCCAGGUGUAGCGGUGAAAUGCGUAGAUAUCUGGAGGAACACCGGUGGCGAAGGCGGCGAUCCUGGACCAAUAUUGACGCUGAGGAGCGAAAGCCAGGGGAGCAAACGGGG